GAGCGGGUUAUAGGUGCUUGCACCUAUGAUUAGCGGCGGACGGGUGAGUAACACGUGGAUAAUCUGACUUUUGCUGGGGGAUAACAGUCGGAAACGGCUGCUAAUACCGCAUGAGCUAUACUAACGGCAUCGUUGGUAAAGGAAAGGUUUACUGGCAGAAGAUGAGUCCGCGUCUGAUUAGCUGGUUGGCGGGGUAAAGGCCCACCAAGGCGAUGAUCAGUAGUCGACCUGAGAGGGUGAUCGGCCACAUUGGGACUGAGACACGGCCCAAACUCCUACGGGAGGCAGCAGUGGGGAAUAUUGCACAAUGGGCGCAAGCCUGAUGCAGCAACGCCGCGUGAAGGAAGAAGGCUUUCGGGUCGUAAACUUCUUUAGGCAGGGAAGAAAAAUGACGGUACCUGCAGAAUAAGCCCCGGCUAACUACGUGCCAGCAGCCGCGGUAAU
rnacentral:rRNA from 1 species